rnacentral:lncRNA from 1 species
ACUAAUGAUACUUGUAAUACCUCAAUUUUACCCGGUCCAAUAAAAGCAAAAAAAUAGAUAAAAUAAUAAAAUAAAAACAGUCCAUAGUGUUUGAUUACAAACGGGCUACAAGGCCCAAACCAAAACAAAGUUGUGGCCCAAAUACAGUGGCCCAAGACAGAGGAUGAAACCCUAGGGUUUCAAAUUUUCAACAGUGCCGCAACUGAGCCUCUGAAUCUUUACCGAUCGUCACCUGCAAGGAAACAAAACAAUAAAGGAAAUAAUCAAAGAUUUGUAAUCAAACAAUAUUUGUUUCUUGAUUUAUCUUAUUCAUUCGGCUAUAAAAUAAAGCCAUAAGCAUACUGUAAGGGAUUCGAUUUCAAAAUCAGAAAUAAAAAAGGCUCUAUAUUUCCAAAUACCAGCAGAGAAACAAAGGAAUCAAAGGUUGUUAUUUAUAUUUUUAUUGUCGUAUUUUUUUAUGCAUUUAUAUACAUACAAUUAAAAUAAAUAGAAAAGGAGGGAAAAAACCUGUUUACGAGCCCUAACCUCUACGGAUGGCCGAGGAAGUCAUCACCGAGGAAUGACGACCAGAAGCCGAAAGGUUUCUCUGCUUUUAGGGCCCCUUUUGUUAAUAUCUUGCGAGUUUUGAGCCCAGAUUUGGGCAAAGGGAGUCAAGGAGGUUAAAAGGAGGAUUUUUUCCUUUUCCUACCACCGCAUACAGUGGUGCCAGCGCCGGAGAGCGAUGGCCGGCGCGGUGGCCGGUGAUCGUCCGAUGACCGGCCCAUGGCCGGAGGAUAGAAAGGUUGAGAGAGUUUUUUAAAAGGUUUUUUU